rnacentral:rRNA from 1 species
AGUGAACGCUGGCGGUAGGCCUAACACAUGCGAGUCGAACGGCAGCACAGUAAGAGCUUGCUCUUACGGGUGGCGAGUGGCGGACGGGUGAGGAAUACAUCGGAAUCUACUUUUUCGUGGGGGAUAACGUAGGGAAACUUACGCUAAUACCGCAUACGACCUACGGGUGAAAGCAGGGGAUCUUCGGACCUUGCGCGAUUGAAUGAGCCGAUGUCGGAUUAGCUAGUUGGCGGGGUAAAGGCCCACCAAGGCGAUGAUCCGUAGCUGGUCUGAGAGGAUGAUCAGCCACACUGGAACUGAGACACGGUCCAGACUCCUACGGGAGGCAGCAGUGGGGAAUAUUGGACAAUGGGCGCAAGCCUGAUCCAGCCAUACCGCGUGGGUGAAGAAGGCCUUCGGGUUGUAAAGCCCUUUUGUUGGGAAAGAAAAGCAGCAGGUUAAUACCCCGCUGUUCUGACGGUACCCAAAGAAUAAGCACCGGCUAACUUCGUG